AGUGAUGAUAGAGGUGCGAACUUCAAAAGUAUGUAAUCGGAGAAGAAAGAGCUUCCGAGAUGAUUACGGAAAGGGGAGGAUCGCCGAAGUAAAAAAAAGUCUCUUUUUCUUUUUUUUACUGGUUCUGCGUUUAAGAAAUGUAGGACUGUCAGGUUGUCUUUGUGCUGCCUGGAGAGCUAUCUCACCG
rfam:Bacillus sp. CHD6a contig6, whole genome shotgun sequence.